UUAUUUAUUUUUUAAUGAAUCUUAAAAUUAAUAUUUCAAAUAUGUUGCCGCCUAAAUUAUUUUUUUGUGGAGUAAGAAUUUGAUUUUCGCUGCUAAACACCCGCUCCAAAGGUACGGAAGAAGGAAUUGUUGUGUUACAUUUAAAAAAUAAAUGUUUUGCAGCAGUAUUCAUUCACAUUUAAUUACAAAACUAUGUAAUUUGUGCUAUUUGAAAAAAAUAAUCGUUAUGUAACCUGUAAGUUUUGCGUUUUGCAAUAAAAAAUGUGCCAUAUUUAAUAAUACAAAUACAACCAGCGGACCUAACUGACCCAGGUGGCGUCGAUGCACAGGUAAAAUGUCUGCCCCUACAAUGUAUUCCCCCUCCCCGGUAUUAUUCACUGAAAGUUUAACUUACCGUAAAAUUGUCAAAGUUAUACCUGGCGUUGCUUUAUUCCAUCUCUCCCUCAGUCGACCCCCUCAGUGUUAGUUUCAGUUUAUGCUUUACGAAAUUCAGACGUCCCUCUGUUUUAACGUUCCAUCAUCAAGACGUAGUGUGUGUUUUAUUCGUGUGAACGAGAUGGCCUACACUAAGUUGUUAAGAAAGUGCAAAGAACUGUAAGAAUGUUACAGUGUGGAUAAGGUACAUCCAUACAUGGAAGAAAGUUACUUGCUCAAAAUAUAACGUCUGGAUAGCAUGCAGUAGACGACUUGUUUGUUAAAAUACCGCCUUAGGCUUCACAAGGAUGAAAUUCCCGCAUGGUCACUCAAUACGACAACGAUACUUUCCAUUGUCGGAUGAUGAAGAUGAUGCCGAUGGCGGUGUAUAUAUGUGAAUAUACGAAUCAACGUCUUACCAGUUGAAGAGACACAAUUAGCCAAUAACACGUGACGUCACGCUGUGGCGGGAACUCAGCGUUUGACAAGCGCCGUGAAACUCCAUAAGUGACAAUGUUAACAUUUUCGCAUUUUAUUUAAAAGUGUGGGUAUUUAUCUAGAAAAUAAACACGUGAAUAGCUUCUUUCAUAUUUUUUCUGUGUAUGAGGGUGCUUUUUUUGGCGAUUUCAGUUUAGAAAUACAUAAUAAAAAUACAGAACGCUGUUUUGGUCUGAAUUCCUCGUCACCCAAAAUACAUCCGUGUGUUUUAGGCGGUAAAUCGGAAAUUAAUAUUUUCGUUUGAGGUUAAUGUGACGGGUUUAAGUGAAGGUGUGUAAUUUGUUUUUAAAGUAUGGAUAAUUUAAGUGAUUAUGCACGAUGUCUUUCCGUCAAAGAGAAAAACAGAUAUGUACAAAAGUUAAACAAUUUAAACGGCGUAGAUCCUUAUACAAUGAGUGCAAGUGAUUUUAAUUUGUGUUUAGACGAUGUCCCUACCAUAACAAUGAAUACCAUUCUAUUUUUUUUUAUUUUUGGAAUAAGUAAAAUAACCCACAAUGAAAUUCGUGCAUUCAAAAGUCUAGAGGCAUUUAUUCAGUUUUCUCUUUUUUAAACGACUGUCUUUCAACAUUACAAGUAUUAUGAGUGGAUUUA